ACGUAGGGUGCAAGCGUUAAUCGGAAUUACUGGGCGUAAAGCGUGCGCAGGCGGCUUUGCAAGACAGAUGUGAAAUCCCCGGGCUCAACCUGGGAACUGCAUUUGUGACUGCAUGGCUAGAGUGCGGCAGAGGGGGAUGGAAUUCCGCGUGUAGCAGUGAAAUGCGUAGAUAUGCGGAGGAACACCGAUGGCGAAGGCAAUCCCCUGGGCCUGCACUGACGCUCAUGCACGAAAGCAUGGGGAGCAAACAGGAUUAGAUACCCUGGUAGUCCAUGCCCUAAACGAUGUCAACUGGUUGUUGGGAAUUAACUUUCUCAGUAACGAAGCUAACGCGUGAAGUUGACCGCCUGGGGAGUACGGCCGCAAGGUUG
rnacentral:rRNA from 1 species